UCGGCUCACUGCAAGCUCCGCCUCCCGGGUUCUCGCCAUUCUCCUGCCUCAGCCUUCCGAGUAGCUGGGACUAUAGGUGCCCGCCACCACGCCAGGCUAAUUUUUUGUAUUUUUAGUAGAGAUGGGGUUUCACCGUGUUAGCCAGGAUGGUCUCGAUCUUCUGACCUCGUGAUCCGCCCGCCUCGGCCUCCCAAAGUGCUAGGAUUACAGGCGUGAGCCACCGCGCCCGGCAGCAAAUUUUAAGCCAAGAAAUUGAAUGUUGCCAGAACCCCAGGAACCACCCAGCCUCUUCCCAUAUGACCACUUCCCCACACUCUCCACCUUCCUUACUUCUAUGGUAUUGAUGGAUGGUUGGGUGACAUGGACUCCAGUAUGUGCCAUGAAGGAUACGAAGAUGAAGCUGUCAUGAACUCUGCUCUCGAGAAGCUACUGUCAAAGUUUGUUUUUUUUAAACUUGAUAUAUUUGAGGUAGAAUUGACAAGAUUUUAGUAUUGAUGAAAUAAGAUAAAAGGGAUGGUGAAAUUAAUGAUGACUUUAGCCAAAAUAAUUAAUUCAGGUGGGGAGGAGAGAAGGGGAUUGACUGAAUUCUAGUUGACUGAGGCUUACUCAUAGUGGGAAGAGCUGUGAGCCAUGUACUGUUUUAUUUAUUGUUUUGUUUUCGGGUUUUGUUUUUCAAUACCAAAAGUGGAUAUUCAUGGAGUCUGAGAAGCUAGGAUUAGAAAUGCAGUAUGUGACAGCAGAAUGGCAAUGUCAUAAACCGUCACUGUGCUAGGUUCUAGAAAUAAAAUAUAGUUGAUCCUUGAACAACACAGAUUUGAAGUGCCUGGGUCCACUUACAUGCAGAUUUUCAUCCACUUCUGCCAUCCCUGAUACAGCAAGAACAACACCUCCUCUUUCUUCUCCUCCUCAGCCUUCUCAAUGUGAACACCACAAGGAUGAAGACCUUUAUAAUGAUCCAUCUCCACUUAAUUAAGAAUAAAUAUUUUUUCUCUUACUCAUGAUUUUAUUAAUGGUAUUUUCUUUUCUCUAGCUUACUUUAUUAUAAAAAUACAGUAUAUAAUACAUAUAGCACACAAAAUAUGUGUUGAUCGACUAUUUAUGUUAUUGAUAAGGCUUCCGGUCAAAAGUAGGCUAAUAGUAGCUACAUUUUUUGGCAAAUCAAAGGCUAAUUACUUGGAUCUGAUCACUAUACAUUAUGUAUAUCACAACAUCACUAUGUGCCCCAUAAAUAUGUACAAUUAUUGUGUUUAUUUAAAAUUUGGAAAAUAAAAAGUUACAAAACAUUUUUUUAAAAUUUAAAAUUUAAAAGUUCUAUGUGGAUUUUUGAGUGCAUGGGUAAGUUGUCACCCCUAACCCCCGUGGUUCCAGGAUCAACUGUAGUGUGUAUUCUUACUGACUCAAAAUUCUUUAUAUUUAUCUGCUUCUCCACCACUCGCCACUUCAAAUGAACAAUUAACUUGUCAAAGAUUAUUUUCCUCAAUACACAACUUCCUAUUUCUCACUCUCCCUCAUCUCCUCUUUCUUUCUUCUUGCCUCUUAUUAAAACCCAAAAGUUGAUAAGAAAGUGGAAUUAAAGAUAGAAUUUGUGUAUAAACAGACUUAACUGUAGUGUUCAUUCUUUUCCAUUUCCUAAAUUGUCCAAUUUCACCAGACAAUGACCUCAAUCUAGCCUAGAAUAAUAAAAACAAUUACCAGCUACUCUAUUGCAUGAAUAAGCCCUAGUUUUACUUUGCAAGCAUCCCAUUAAGUGUUUGCUGGAUUUUUCUAUUUUCCUUCUCUAUGUCAGAGUCAAGGCAAGCAUCACAAGCCAAGUAGCCACCCUGCUAACUGGAAGGUAAAAGAAGAGCCAGGGGAGGGAAACAGACUCAGAGACUAUCAAUUUUCCCUGAACUAGAACAACCUAUUCUUAUCAGAGAAGAUGAGCAUCACUUAACAUUUGACAAACCACUGUCCCCAGAGUGCAUUACCAUGGUAAUCCA
rnacentral:lncRNA from 1 species